ACAGUCGGAAAUGGACCACUGCAUUAAAUUAUUACGGAAUCACCUAAGAAAUAAAUGAGCUGGUUGGUGCCGUCCGAAUUCGGCUCGGCUCAUCUCUGCUGGUCCUUGUAAUUAUGCUUCCAAUAUUUUCCUCUCUAUAUAAACCAAGACAAACCUGUUCAUAUCCAAUUCAAUAUUGGAACCUCCUCACUAGUGCCAAUGUUCUCCUAUUGAUCAUCUUUCUUUCUGCUACUUCUUUUCAAUUCAAUCUCGGGUUAGGGUCUUCAAUUAGAGAGUUUAAUUCUGUGGCUUCAAUGGAACAUGUGGUGUCGGACUUGGGGUUCGGGGAAUUAGGGUUUCGGUAAUUGCAGUUUUCGGUUUUGAUGUUUUUGGACUGACGACGAUAAUGGCGGCGAAUCCACAGCCACUUCAGGCUGGUCUGUACGAGGAGCGCGUGGCGAUACAGAUCAUCGACGGCGACGGCGGUGGUGAUGAGUUCGGUAAACGCUUCGGACUACGGAGGAGGUGUUGAGGUGGCGUCUGGGACCAGUGAGCUCACUCUUGCUUUCGAAGGAGAGGUUUAUGUGUUCCCUGCUGUUACGCCCGAGAAGGAUGCACCAUAAGAAUGGUCAGUUUGCAUCAUUGAAAGGAGGUUCGGGGUCUUCUGGUUCGGAUUAUUAUGCAAAGAGUUGCCUUCAAGGAGAUGGCACACCUUGUCAAGAAAUUGUGUGAGUUCCAUCUUGAUUUUGAGGUUGCUGCUUUCUGGUUGGGACUAUGGCCGGCUUCAAAUUAGUGUGGCCGGAGCUUCAAUGACGAUGGAAUGACCAAAGUGCCCAAAAGAUGGAAGGAGGUCGAGAUUUCAAUUCUUCGUUAUGCAACUCCAAGCUCAUUGGAGUUGGAUACUUCAACAAGGGGGUCAUGGCAGCAAAUCCCAUGGGUCUUGACCGUCGUUCUUUUGCCAGGACUGUGACUCUUGGUAAUGGGCUAACCAUCACUGGAUGGACCAUUUUUCCUGCAAGGGCCUUGGUUGAUGAUCUUCCUCUCAUUUUGUUCGCGCGAUUUUUGUUCCCUACGUCGGUCGAUGGACUCUUUGCGGGCGUGCCAGAGUAUUUGUACAAAAUACCCAAAAUAUGUAAUUGAACACCAGCCUAUCCCUUUUUUCGAUGGCUGACUCUCAGGCGAUUGUGUGGGAGAGAGACUAGUAAGAACUCCCAGCAAGGUUCUUUUAUGCCUUGUUUGUAGCAAGGACUUCUUAGAGUGUCUAAAGAAAUGUAACGGCUGAUGAAUGUUUGAAUGGA